rnacentral:rRNA from 1 species
UACAGAGGUCUCAAGCGUUGUUCGGAUUCAUUGGGCGUAAAGGGUGCGUAGGCGGCGGGGUAAGUCAGGUGUGAAAUCUCGGGGCUCAACCCCGAAACUGCACUUGAUACUGCCUCGCUUGAGUACUGGAGAGGAGACUGGAAUUUACGGUGUAGCAGUGAAAUGCGUAGAUAUCGUAAGGAAGACCAGUGGCGAAGGCGAGUCUCUGGACAGUUCCUGACGCUGAGGCACGAAGGCCAGGGGAGCAAACGGG